AGUCGUGGGACAGCGGAGGGAUCAUUAGAGAGUUGACCCAACUCCCAAACCCCUGUGAACAUACCGUACGUUGCCUCGGCGGGGAGGGCGCUACCCCCCCGCCGGCGGCCCACGAAACUCUGUUUUGCCCUGAAUCUCUGAAACGAUAAACUAAAUCAGUUAAAACUUUCAACAACGGAUCUCUUGGUUCUGGCAUCGAUGAAGAACGCAGCGAAAUGCGAUACGUAGUGUGAAUUGCAGAAUUCAGUGAAUCAUCGAAUCUUUGAACGCACAUUGCGCCCGCUAGUAUUCUAGCGGGCAUGCCUGUUCGAGCGUCAUUUCAACCCCUUAAGCCCCUGUUGCUUAGCGUUGGGAGCCUACGGCAGUCUCUGCCGUCGCUCCUCAAAUCCAGUGGCGGAGCCGGUUCGCGCUCUAGGCGUAGUAGAUUUUCUCCAUCUCGCCUACGGCCGGGCCGGCCCUCCUGCCGUAAAAGAACCCCCCUCUCCACAGAAGGKUGACCUCGAAUCAGGAGGAAUMCCCGCUGAACUUAAGCAUAUCAAUAAGCGGAGGAAAAGAAACCAACRGGAUUGCCCCAGUAACGGCGAGUGAAGCGGCAACAGCUCAAAUUUGAAAUCUGGCCCUCGGGUCCGAGUUGUAAUUUGUAGAGGAUGCUUUUGGCGCGGUGCCUUCCGAGUUCCCUGGAACGGGACGCCUUAGAGGGUGAGAGCCCCGUACGGUUGGACACCAAGCCUCUGUAAAGCUCCUUCGACGAGUCGAGUAGUUUGGGAAUGCUGCUCUAAAUGGGAGGUAAAUUUCUUCUAAAGCUAAAUAUUGGCCAGAGACCGAUAGCGCACAAGUAGAGUGAUCGAAAGAUGAAAAGCACUUUGAAAAGAGGGUUAAACAGCACGUGAAAUUGUUGAAAGGGAAGCGUUUGCGACCAGACCUCUCCCUGGCGGAUCAUCCGGCGUUCUCGCCGGUGCACUCCGCCAGGCUGAGGCCAGCAUCGGUUUCGGCGGGGGGACAAAAGCGGGGGGAACGUAGCUCCCUCGGGAGUGUUAUAGCCCUCCGCAUAAUACCCUCGCGGGGACCGAGGACCGCGCUUCGGCAAGGAUGCUGGCGUAAUGGUCG
rnacentral:rRNA from 1 species